CACAACAAAUAACUUGAUUAUAAGGAACAAAUGUCAUGUGAAGCAAAUAAUUUCCUUAGAAAAAAGAGGGCCAAGAAAAAGACGCAAAAGCAUAGCUUGCUCCUUGAUUCCAGUUUCUGCAUCCACCAUUGAUAAGCAUGGGACUGAGCAAAUGAGUAUCAAAAGGAAGUCAAGGAAGCUUCGCC